GCGAGGAAUCUUGGUCAAUGGGCGAAAGCCUGAACCAGCGACGCCGCGUGGGGGAUGAAGGCUCUUGGGUCGUAAACCCCUUUUGGGUGGGAAGAAGAUCUGACGGUACCACCCGAAUAAGCCACGGCUAACUACGUGCCAGCAGCCGCGGUAAUACGUAGGUGGCGAGCGUUGUCCGGAUUUAUUGGGCGUAAAGCGCGCGCAGGCGGUUGAUUAAGUCCGGUGUGAAAGCUCCUGGCUCAACUGGGAGAGGUCACUGGAUACUGGUCGACUGGAGGCAGGCAGAGGAAGGUGGAAUUCCCGGUGUAGUGGUGAAAUGCGUAGAUAUCGGGAGGAACACCAGUGGCGAAGGCGGCCUUCUGGGCCUGUCCUGACGCUGAGGCGCGAAAGCGUGGGGAGCGAACCGGAUUAGAUACCCGGGUAGUCC
rnacentral:rRNA from 1 species